UACGGAGGGUGCAAGCGUUGUCCGGAAUCACUGGGCGUAAAGGGCGCGUAGGCGGCUCAUGAAGGCUGUGGUGAAAGUCCGGGGCUCAACCUCGGAUCGGCCGUGGCGACUCGUGGGCUGGAGCACUGUAGAGGCGGGUGGAAUUCCGGGUGUAGCGGUGGAAUGCGUAGAGAUCCGGAAGAACACCAGUGGCGAAGGCGGCCCGCUGGGCAUUAACUGACGCUGAGGAGCGAAAGCAUGGGGAGCGAACAGG
rnacentral:rRNA from 1 species